GCAAGUCGAACGGUAACAGAAAAUAGCUUGCUAUUUUGCUGACGAGUGGCGGACGGGUGAGUAAUGCUUGGGAAUAUGCCUUAUGGUGGGGGACAACAGUUGGAAACGACUGCUAAUACCGCAUAAUAACUUCGGACCAAAGUGGGGGACCUUCGGGCCUCACGCCAAAAGAUUAGCCCAAGUGGGAUUAGCUAGUUGGUAAGGUAAAGGCUUACCAAGGCGACGAUCCCUAGCUGGUCUUAGAGGAUGACC
rnacentral:rRNA from 1 species